GAUGAACGCUGGCGGCGUGCUUAACACAUGCAAGUCGAACGGAAAGGCCCAAGCUUGCUGGGGUACUCGAGUGGCGAACGGGUGAGUAACACGUGGGUGAUCUGCCCUGCACUUCGGGAUAAGCUUGGGAAACUGGGUCUAAUACCGGAUAGGACCACAUUUUGGAUGGUGUGGUGGAAAGAUUUUCGGUGUGGGAUGAGCGGGCGGCCUAUCAGCUUGUUGGUGGGGUAAUGGCCUACCAAGGCGUCGGCGGGUAGCCGGCCUGAGAGGGUGGACGGCCACAUUGGGACUGAGAGACGGCCCAGACUCCUACGGGAGGCAGCAGGGGGGAAUAUUGCACAAUGGGCGCAAGCCUGAUGCAGCGACGCCGCGUGGGGGAUGGCGGCCUUCGGGGUGUAAACUCCUUUCGCUAGGGACGAAGCGUUAUGUGACGGUACCUGGAGAAGAAGCACCGGCUAACUACGUG
rnacentral:rRNA from 1 species